AACCAAAUGAUACGUAGAGGGGUAGAUCCAGACGAGAUCACAUUCACCGGUUUGCUUUCUGCUUGUAGCCGUUCUGGGAUGUUACAGAAGGGGAAGUGCUUUUUUGAGUAUAUCAGUCGAUAUAAAUCCAAUGCAUUAAGGCUUCAGCACUAUGCUUGUAUGGUGGACAUCCUGGGAAGAUGUGGGAAGUUGGAUGAAGCAGAGGAGUUGGUUAGAUAUAUGCCCGUGAAAGCGAAUUCAAUGAUAUGGCUUGCUUUGCUUAGUGCUUGUAGGGUGCAUUCUAAUUUGAAGGUUGCUGAAAGAGCUGCAAAACAUAUUCUUGAUUUAGAGCCAAAUUGUAGUGCUGCCUAUGUCUUGUUGUCUAAUAUAUAUGCAUCUGCUGGUAGAUGGGCUGAUGUCUCUAGAAUGAGAGUGAAGAUGAAACAGGGAGGACUUGCAAAACAACCAGGAUCCAGUUGGGUAGUUUUGAGGGGAAAGAAACAUGAGUUUCUUUCUGCAGACAGAUCCCAUCCUCUAAGUGAGAGAAUAUAUGACAAGCUGGACUGGUUGGGAAAAAAGUUGAAGGAAUUUGGUUAUGUUCCUGAUCAAAAAUUUGCUCUACAUGAUGUCGAAGAUGAGCAGAAGGAAGAGAUGUUGUCUUUUCACAGUGAGAGGCUUGCUAUUGCGUUUGGGCUAGUUAGCACCGUGGAGGGUAGCACAAUAACAGUCAUGAAGAAUCUUCGUGUAUGUGGGGAUUGUCACUCUGUUAUUAAGCUUAUGUCAAAGAUUGUAGGACGCAAGAUUGUUGUAAGAGAUUCUGGCCGCUUUCAUCACUUCAAGAAUGGCAUUUGUUCUUGCGGUGAUUAUUGGUAGCACUAUUGGGGUUUUUUCCUUGUUAAAGCUGCUGGUGGGAUGCCUAUAGGCACAUCAAAGCAUCUUUAUGAUGACCAAAACAAAUAUUUUGAAGAAGAAGAGAAUAGAAUUACGUAGAUAAAUUUUGAGUUGGAAGAGAACUAUGGCUUUGGCUUAAAUGAUGAUUCUGAAGAAGGACGGGGGAUUUGUGAUUUUGCAGAUAAACUUCUCAUGUCUGAUAAUUUGAAUGAAUGAAAGAACAUAGACUAAUGAAAGGAAGGAAGAGAAACAAUAAAAAACAAUACGUGAUGAAAAUAAAGGUAAGUCAAAGCUAAGGAGCUUGUAGGUUGGGGAUCAAAACCUUUGUCUGAGUUCCUGACAUCCAUUGGAAAGAAACAACCAAAGAAUUGUCUCAACUUGAUGUUAGUAUCAUUUCUGGGUAUUGCAGUGAUAACAACCUUUUGACCCAGUGAAGAAAAGGAAAAGGUACAACCAUCUCUGGAAGGAGAUGUGUGAAUAAAUUGUUUUGUGGAUAACAUGGGACAGUAAGAGGAUGUUUUUGGAAGCUUUGAUAAAGCUUCUAAUGUGAGGGUGGGACUUGUUGUUAGGUAAAAGGCAGUGAAACUGAAGCCUUGAUGGAAACAGAAUAAGCAGGUUGUUCCAGAUAGGCACAAAGCUGUAUUGCAUCUGUCAUGGCUAACAAGCUUGUCUACCCGAGGAGUAGUUUGCUGGAGGAGCUGUCAAAGCAUUCAGAGACUUCGAUUUUAACAUAAUGUGUAGUUUCAUGAAGGUUAACGCUCAUCCAUAUGAUUGUUUGCGGAAGAACUCUCAUCAGCUCUCGCAAGUGACAGGAGGGAGACUGCCACUCACAUGGUAUGAAAGUAGCUAUGUUGAUAUGUUACAUGUGACAUCAAUGCCACUGCGACCUGUUGACAGCUUCGGUUAUCCUGUAAGAACAUAUAAAUUCUACAAUGGCUCAACAGUUUAUCCAUUUGGAUAUAGACUCAGCUACACGGAGUUCAGGAACGAGCUAGCAUCCCCAGCUGAAGCCUAUCUUGAAAUCAAAUUGAACAAGUAUAUAUCAGUAAUGCCAUGACUUGAACUCCACCAGUGAAGGCUACAGGCAAAGCUGCCCUGCUGUUUUUGUUGAUGAUUUAAGUUGUGCCAAUCAAUUUGGGUUUGAGGUGACAGUCCAAAACGUAGGGGAUAAAGACGGAAGUGAAGCGGUCAUGGUUUAAUCAAAACCUCCAGAUGGUGUUAGUGGGGCUCAUGCCAAGAAAGUCAUUGGAUUUGAGAGGGUGUUUGUGGCAGCAGGUAAGAGCAACAAGGUGAGAUUUUCUUUUAAUGCUUGCAAGAGCCUAGCAAUUGUAGAUACCACUAGCUAGCAGGUUGAUGUUUCUCCUAGGAGGUGGAGGUUAGGGUUUUUUUUUUCCUUUCUAGAUGUCAAUUUUCAGCUAAGUUGUUUCUUGUGGAGGGCUUCUUUGUCAUGAAAGUAGGUUUUGUUUGCAGGAAUUCAUUUUCAAAUUCAGUGUUUCUCAAUAUUUCCUU